rnacentral:misc_RNA from 1 species
CAACGCACUCGACGCAGGGUGACUGCCUCUUGUCCGGAAGCGGCAAGCGCAGAGGCCACACUCGCGCUCAUAACCAACCCAUAAAGGUCACAGGACCUGCCGCCCUCGUGCCUCUCUCUUGUCCUCCAUGUUGCGUCGGCUUGUCGCACACGCCUUGGCGCCGGCAGCCCUGUGCCGCCACCUUAUCGUCAGCGCCGACAUCCGUGAAGGCCUCACCAAGCCGCUGAGCUCUCUGAAGGAAGAGUGCAAAGGGCAGAACCUUGACUUGGCUGACAUGGCCGAGGCGAUGAAGGGCGCGACAUACAAGCUUCAGGAAGUCAUCAAGAAGAGCGCUGUCGAUGACAAGCAGUUCAAAGGAAAAGCGGCCACGCUUUCCGCCUCGCUGAAGGCGUACAACACACGGCUCGCCAACCUGCAGAACGAGACGCGCUCCAUCCAGGCUGAAAUCGACGCCAUCAUGAAGCUGCUGUGGGGCACGGAGAGACCGGAGGGCGCCAACUUUGCAACGCCUCCAGCGGAAAAUGCCCCCAACCCCACGGCCGACUUCGAGGUGGAGCCACCACCGAUUGCGCGCGCGCUUGGAGAGGCGACGCUGUCUGCGCCAUCGAGCACAGCACCUCCUAAACUCAAUGUGGAGCGCGUCGAGGGAGAACGCGUAGAGACGGCGGCUAGGAUGGGCACUUCCUCGUCCGCUGGUGCCAGCAAGGAGGAGGAGAUCGAGGUGGAGACCAUCGAGGUCGACGUUGAGCCGCCGGCGGAGGAAGACCCAGUUGAGACAAUGAAGGUGACAGACAUCACGAAGGAACUCUAUGAGCGUGGUGUCAACUUCUCCGACUGCAUGGACGCGCGAACGCUGAGGCAGCGCUACCGCGAUGUGCUGAGCGGCAAGAUUCCCACUGCGGCCAAUCAAUCCUCCUCAUCGGCUUCGCAUGGCUUUACGGAGCCCCUGACUAUGAACACCAACCAGCCGCGCAUGCCCCAGAGCGGGCCUCCUCAGCAAAGCCCGUACCCGUACCAGCAACAAGGGCAAUCGAGCACCAACAACGCGGGCAGCGGGAUCACCAACGACCCUUACCCGAACGCGCAUCGCAAGAUGGUGGAUCCGAUGAAGUUUGUGUACCAGAUUAAGCAGGAGUUGGCGCUGGAGAAGGGCAUCGACGCUGGUGCAGUCGACUUGUGGAGCGGCAAGAUCAAACUGGAUGACAACAAGCGUCUCUAUGACUACCCCUCCAUUCAGAGCUACCCGAUCGAGGUUCGGCAGAAAGGAGAUAUACCGGCAUGAGCAAAGGCGGCGACGCAACGCAGCGGGACUGUCUAGCGAGCUCGAAAGGCGCACACGAAAAACAAAUGAAUCCAGUACGUGUCGCGCUGCGCGGUGGUGUGUUGGGUUUUGUAUUGUGCAGGCAUCUCUCACAUUCCCUUUUGGGGCUCCGCGCAUAUGUGCGUGUGCGUGUGUGCGAACGGCGGUGGUAGCCGUAGCUGGUGAAACAGUUUUCUGUUCCGACUUCCUUCCCCUGAUGGCGCUUUCGACUCGCCAGGCUGAGCGUCGUGUCUGCCCGCAGGAAUGGGUCCGUAAAAGG